UACGGAGGGUGCAAGCAUUAAUCGGAAUUAUUGGGCGUAAAGGGCGCGUAGGCGGAUAUGUAAGUCAGAUGUGAAAUCCCGGGGCUCAACCUCGGAACUGCAUUUGAAACUGUAUCUCUAGAGGGUAGGCGGAGAAAACGGAAUUCCACAAGUAGCGGUGAAAUGCGUAGAUAUGUGGAAGAACACCGGUGGCGAAGGCGGUUUUCUAGCUUACUCCUGACGCUGAGGCGCGAAAGCAAGGGGAUCAAACAGG
rnacentral:rRNA from 1 species